AUGCUGUUGUGGAUCUCUCUGCCUGUACCCCCUCUUCUCAAGGCACCCCUCCCUUCUGUAACAUACAGGAUGUCAACUAGGAACCUCAUGAAAGGGAGCCGGUCACCUUUGGACAUGUCAGCUCCCCUGCGAUGGGAACUUCCUCCUGACCAAUGGGGUUCUGUAUGUUCUCAGGAACUGACAGCUCGGUGCUCCCCAGACUACGUUCCAUGCUCCCCACCUUGCACUGACGCGUGUGGAAGUUGUCCUACAGCAACAAGAGACAGAGCCCUGAAGGCUUCUCAGACUUCAGUCCUGCCCUUCCACAAGCUCUGCGGGAGGCCUGGUCCUGCUUCUGCUGGAUACUUCUCAGAGUCACCAGCUCCAAGGACGCUCCUCGGGCCUCCAAUGUAGCAACAGCAGCAGCAACAUCAGGUACUGCAUUUCCCUCAUUGCCAAGUGACAGCAGUUCUCUCUGUGUGUGACACCGAAUUCACCGGAGAGCCUGGCAUCGAUCCCACUAUCAACAAAUGUUUGCAGAGUUCUACUCUGAUGCAGGCGUAGGCACCCUGUCUUCGUGGACAGGAAAUACACGUAGCUGUACCAGCAGGAAGAGCGCGCUGGGGCGUGGGCAGCCAGGGGAUGACUCCUGGUCUGCGGAGGAAGGGAAAGCUCCUGGAGGACAGGGGACAUUGUGCUGAAGCCAAGACCCGAAGGCUGAGUAAGUGUUAGCCAGGGGAAGACAGAGAGGAAGGGCGAUUCAGGCAGAGGGGGCCGCCAGUGAGGAGGCUCAGGGACCGGGAGCAUCCCUCCCGAGGGCAGCGUGGGAGAAAGCCACAGUAGACACACCGAGGCCGGAGAAGGCCUGACUGGAGCUGAGGAUGUCAGGGAAGGAAGGAAGGGACAGAAAGGGCCAGAUCUGGAGGCCUGUGUGGAGGAUUUUUGGUGGCGGGGGUGAGAGGUAGCAGAAGGGGAAGCACUGGGUGUGUUGCGGGGAGGGAUCUAGGCCACAGGCCCGGCAGCGCUUGGAGAUGGAUGACACAUGCAGGUGAAAAUGAGGGCCCAGAUAACAGGUUGAAGAAGGAGAGUACCAAGGGUCUAAAAGCAGAGCAGCAGCCCCCAGGGCAUGGCUGGCUUCAUGGGCAGGUGAGCUGAGCCAGCCUGUGGUUGGGCUCAGUGCUUAAGUAAAUGUUGUCACCAUCUUGAAAUGCUUAGUAAUAUUUGAACAAGAGGCCGUGCAGUCUCAUUUUGCACCAGGUCUGCAAAUUAUAUAGCUGAUCCUGCCCAGGGCUGAACGUUUUCCACAGAUCUAUGCAGAAUUUCACACAGCUAAUGGUACGUGGACUCCAUCCAAGGCCUCCAGAUUGUUCAUAGAUCCCGUCAGGCAGGACAGGAGUGUGAGGGAGGCUCGCAGCGCCCAGCUCAGGGCCGCUGGUGUCCGUGAGUGCGUCAGGCAUGGCUUGUUGAUAAAGUCCAUCAGAGCAGUGCAUGCAUGGAAGACUUCCAGCUCACCAGCCACGGAGACAGGAGACUGAGGGCAUGUCAAUAACAUGAGCUUUGAGUCGGCUGCCUGAGUAAAACAGGAAUUUUCUUC
ensembl:lincRNA